AAGUCGUAACAAGGUUUCCGUAGGUGAACCUGCGGAAGGAUCAUUAAUGAAACUUCAAAGUCGGCCGAUAGUUGUUGCUGGUGGUUAACUCCACAUGUGCACACUUUUGGUCGCAAUCCACACACACCUGUGCAUCUAUGACUCGAGGUUGUAAUGACUGAGAGUAACUUUUACACACUCUUGUAUGUAAUGGAAUGUCUUUUGUGCUAUAAUGUACAAUAUAAACAACUUUCAACAACGGAUCUCUUGGCUCUC
rnacentral:misc_RNA from 1 species